AUUGAACGCUGGCGGCAUGCCUUACACAUGCAAGUCGAACGGCAGCACGGGGCAACCUGGUGGCGAGUGGCGAACGGGUGAGUAAUGAGUCGGAACGUACCUUUCAGGGGGGGAUAACGUAGAGAAAGUUACGCUAAUACCGCAUAUUCUGUGAGCAGGAAAGCAGGGGAUCGCAAGACCUUGCGCUGAUUGAGCGGCCGGUGUCAGAUUAGCUAGUUGGUGAGGUAAAGGCUCACCAAGGCGACGAUCUGUAGCGGGUCUGAGAGGAUGAUCCGCCACACUGGAACUGAGACACGGUCCAGACUCCUACGGGAGGCAGCAGUGGGGAAUUUUGGACAAUGGGGGCAACCCUGAUCCAGCCAUGCCGCGUGAGUGAAGAAGGCCUUCGGGUUGUAAAGCUCUUUCGGCCGGGAAGAAAUCGCACGGGCUAAUACCCUGUGUGGAUGACGGUACCGGAAUAAGAAGCACCGGCUAACUACGUGCCAGCCGCCGCAGUAAGAC
rnacentral:rRNA from 1 species